rnacentral:rRNA from 1 species
AGCGAACGCUGGCGGCAGGCUUAACACAUGCAAGUCGAGCGGGCGUAGCAAUACGUCAGCGGCAGACGGGUGAGUAACGCGUGGGAACGUACCUUUUGGUUCGGAACAACACAGGGAAACUUGUGCUAAUACCGGAUAAGCCCUUACGGGGAAAGACUUAUCGCCGAAAGAUCGGCCCGCGUCUGAUUAGCUAGUUGGUGAGGUAACGGCUCACCAAGGCGACGAUCAGUAGCUGGUCUGAGAGGAUGAUCAGCCACAUUGGGACUGAGACACGGCCCAAACUCCUACGGGAGGCAGCAGUGGGGAAUAUUGGACAAUGGGCGCAAGCCUGAUCCAGCCAUGCCGCGUGAGUGAUGAAGGCCCUAGGGUUGUAAAGCUCUUUUGUGCGGGAAGAUAAUGACGGUACC